rnacentral:rRNA from 1 species
GAUGAACGCUGGCGGCGUGCCUAAUACAUGCAAGUCGAGCGAACAGACGAGGAGCUUGCUCCUCUGACGUUAGCGGCGGACGGGUGAGUAACACGUGGAUAACCUACCUAUAAGACUGGGAUAACUUCGGGAACCCGGAGCUAAUACCGGAUAAUAUAUUGAACCGCAUGGUUCAAUAGUGAAAGACGGUUUUGCUGUCACUUAUAGAUGGAUCCGCGCCGCAUUAGCUAGUUGGUAAGGUAACGGCUUACCAAGGCAACGAUGCGUAGCCGACCUGAGAGGGUGAGCGGCCACACUGGAACUGAGACACGGUCCAGACUCCGACGGGAGGCAGCAGUAGGGAAUCUGCCGCAAUGGGCGAAAGCGUGACGGAGCAACGCCGCGUGAGUGAUGAAGGUCUUCGGAUCGUAAAACUCUGUUAUUAGGGAAGAACAAAUGUGUAAGUAACUAUGCACGUCUUGACGGUACCUAAUCAGAAAGCCACGGCUAACUACGUG